UGUUGAAACAGCGGUUUUCAUCUGAACACCAAAGUUAAGCAAAACUGAACCUGUUCAGUACUCAGAUGGGUGACCGCUAAGGAAUACCAGGUGCUGUAAGC